rnacentral:rRNA from 1 species
AAUGAACGCUGGCGGCGCGCCUAAUACAUGCAAGUCGAGCGAGAAGACGUAGCAAUACGUUUGUAAAGCGGCGAACGGGUGAGGAAUACAUGGGUAACCUACCCUAGAGUGGGGAAUAACUAGCCGAAAGGUUAGCUAAUACCGCGUACGCUCCUUGGACUUCGGUUCAGGGAGGAAAGCGAUACCGAGGGUAUCGCGCUCUUGGAUGGGCUCAUGUCCUAUCAGCUUGUUGGUGAGGUAACGGCUCACCAAGGCUUCGACGGGUAGCUGGUCUGAGAGGACGAUCAGCCACACUGGCACUGCGACACGGGCCAGACUCCUACGGGAGGCAGCAGUAAGGAAUAUUGCGCAAUGGGCGAAAGCCUGACGCAGCGACGCCGCGUGGGGGAU